AGCAGCCGCGGUAAUUCCAGCUCCAAUAGCGUAUAUUAAAGUUGCUGCAGUUAAAAAGCUCGUAGUUGAAUUUCGGGACCAUCAUGUCGGUCGUGCCUCGGUACGUACUGGUAUUGUUGGUUUCUCCCUUCUGACGAACCAUGAUGUCAUUUAUUUGGUGUUGUGGGGAAUCAGGACUGUUACUUUGAAAAAAUUAGAGUGUUUAAAGCAGGCUCACGCUUGAAUACAUUAGCAUGGAAUAAUGAAAUAGGACGUUUGAUUCUAUUUUGUUGGUUUCUAGGAUCGACGUAAUGAUUAAUAGGGAUAGUUGGGGGCAUUAGUAUUCAAUUGUCAGAGGUGAAAUUCUUGGAUUUAUUGAAGACUAACUACUGCGAAAGCAUUUGCCAAGGAUGUUUUCAUUAAUCAAGAACGAAAGUUAGGGGAUCGAAGACGAUCAGAUACCGUCGUAGUCUUAACCAUAAACUAUGCCGACUAGGGAUCGGAUGAUGUUAAUUUUUAAUGUACUCAUUCGGCGCCUUAC
rnacentral:rRNA from 1 species